GAUGAACGCUGGCGGCGUGCCUAAUACGUGUAAGUCGAGCGAACGGACGAGAAGCUUGCUUCUCUGAUGUUAGCGGCGGACGGGUGAGUAACACGUGGAUAACCUACCUAUAAGACUGGGAUAACUUCGGGAAACCGGAGCUAAUACCGGAUAAUAUUUUGAACCGCAUGGUUCAAAAGUGAAAGACGGUCUUGCUGUCACCUAUAGAUGGAUCCGCGCUGCAUUAGCUAGUUGGUAAGGUAACGGCUUACCAAGGCAACGAUGCAUAGCCGACCUGAGAGGGUGAUCGGCCACACUGGAACUGAGACACGGUCCAGACUCCUACGGGAGGCAGCAGUAGGGAAUCUUCCGCAAUGGGCGAAAGCCUGACGGAGCAACGCCGCGUGAGUGAUGAAGGUCUUCGGAUCGUAAAACUCUGUUAUUAGGGAAGAACAUAUGUGUAAGUAACUGUGCACAUCUUGACGGUACCUAAUCAGAAAGCCACGGCUAACUACGUG
rnacentral:rRNA from 1 species